UUCCAGCAUGGAUUAUAAACACUGCGUUGGUAAAUGUCUGCUCUUCUUCUUUUUGGCUGUUCUAUUUGACAUUGCUGGAUUGAUCAUUUUCCUUCUAGGAAUUUUUGCACAAUUCACCUUCUGGGAUUUCUUUGUGCUUUCUGGGCCCAUCAUUGUCUUCCUCAGCCUGAUCUUUUGGAUAUUCUGGUACAUGGGAAACCUCAAUGUCUCACCUCAGGAGUUGCUUCUACCACAAUGAAAACGUUACUUUUAAUUACUAUGUUUAAAAAAUAUGGCAAGUUGAGUGCAAUAAGAAUGGCUUACGAUAUGGUUGCCGGAACUGAAAAUGUAUAGCUACUGCACUGAAAAUAUUUAUUUUAAAAUACAUGCUCUAAGAAAUUAGAGAAGCCCAUACUGAAGCUACCUAAAUAAAAAAAGACAAGGAAUACUCAAAUCCAACAAAAAGGUAAAUUUGUAUAUCGGAAGUGUUUGGAUGAAGAAGGGGAAAGACAUCCUUUCAGCCGUGUUCACAGUCUGCAGCAAGAUGGAGACAUGCCUGUGGCUUAAGAACUGAAUGCUGGUCGCAGGGAACCGGAGCCUAACACAGCAACUCAG